GGAAGGGGUGUAUUUAUUAGAUAAAAAACCAAUGCCCUCUGGGCUCCUUGGUGAUUCAUAAUAACUUAACGAAUCGCAUGGCCUUGCGCCGGCGAUGGUUCAUUCAAAUUUCUGCCCUAUCAACUUUCGAUUGUAAGAUAGAGGCUUACAAUGGUCUUAACGGGUAACGGGGAAUUAGGGUUCUAUUCCGGAGAGGGAGCCUGAGAAACGGCUACCACAUCCAAGGAAGGCAGCAGGCGCGCAAAUUACCCAAUGCUAAUACAGCGAGGUAGUGACAAUAAAUACUGAUACGGGGCUCUUUCGGGUCUCGUAAUUGGAAUGAGUACAAUCUAAAUCCCUUAACGAGGGACAAUUGGAGGGCAAGUCUGGUGCCAGCAGCCGCGGUAAUUCCAGCUCCAAUAGCGUAUAUUAAAGUUGUUGCCGUUAAAAAGCUCGUAGUUGAACUUCAGACCUGGCUGGAUGGUCUGCCUAACGGUAUGUACUGUCCGGCUGGGCCUUACCUCUUGGUGAGCCGGCAUGCCCUUCACUGGGUGUGUUGGGGAACCAGGACUUUUAC
rnacentral:rRNA from 1 species